UACGGAGGGUGCAAGCAUUGAUCGGAAUUACUGGGCGUAAAGGGCGCGUAGGCGGCGCGGUAAAUCAGGUGUGGAAUGCUUCGGCUUACCCGGAGAAUUGCACCUGAAAAUGCCGUGCUAGAGUGCAGGAGAGGUGUGUGGAACUCUCGGUGGAGCGGUGAAAUGCGUAGAUAUCGAGAGGAACGCCGGAGGCGAAAGCGACACACUGGCCUGUAACUGACGCUGAGGCGCGAAAGCUAGGGGAGCAAACGGG
rnacentral:misc_RNA from 1 species